GCGAAAGUAGCUCAGUGAUAGAGCGUCACCUUGCCAAGGUGAGGGUCGCGGGUUUGAAUCCCGUCUUUCGCU
rnacentral:tRNA from 1 species